UACACUCUUUCAGCCAUUCACUCAUAAUCUCUCCCAUUCUUUGUUCCAGUCACCUAAACACUUAACCAUCAUCAUUUUCACCAUUCUUCAUCAAUCUCACAUGGUAUCAGAGCUGAAAAUCUCUUCAACCUCAUUAUGCUUCGGCAAAUACAAGCUACUCCCAGUUCAUCUUCAAACCAGUUUGGUACAACCUUUUGUCCAGUAGUCCAAAGGCUCUCCAAGAAGGAAGAACCUAUGACCAUCUCUCAAGACAAAGUGUAUUCAAGUCUCUGAAUCUCCAGAACCAUCCAGCAAGUUCAAAAAGUUCAGAGAGUCAUCCAUUCAACCAUUUCUCUUUGAAGAUACUUAAGCACAUUCUUUUACCUAGUUGUCCAUAGCUCUUCCAAGAUGAAAAACUCUAAAGUUAUGAUGAUUCCUGUGAUGCUCAAGGUUCCAAACUAAUUCUCUGGUCCAGGCUUGUGAAGACAGCCUUUGGAGGAAAAGACUUGUGGACUCAUUGUAUACAAGAAGCUCCAAAACAAGGCAGUUCUCAUGAUGCUCUGAAGCAAACUGGCUCCAAACCUGAAGUUGGAGACAAAUGGCAGCAAGAAGACCUCCUAGUGUUGUUCAUCCUUCAAAUCUCACUUGAAGCAACCAUUUUGGAGGCUUACUCUUACUGUAAGAAUACAAAGGACCUGUGGGAUACUCUUCGUAAGAUGUAUGAGAACUCAUCAAACCUCAGCAGGGUGUAUGAAGUCAAGAAAGCCAUCAAUAACCUCUGCUAAGAAAAAAUGAAGUUCACUGAGCACUUUUGAAAUUUCAUGUCCUUAUGGGCUAAGCUUGACAUGCUUAGGCCAGCUAUCAUUGAUCCAAAAAUUCUCAUUGACAGAAGGGAGUAAGACAAGGUGUUAGGGCUGCUGCUUACUCAAUCCAACCUUCAAUGAUCUGAUGAAACAUAUUUUGAGGUCAGACAAGCUGUCCAGCCUUGAUGAAGUGUGCUCUCAGAUACAAAAAGAACAAGGGUCACACUGCCUCUUUGAACCUAAGAAAGGUCUCACACUAGCAAAUGAGGCUGAAAGUUUUUCUCUUGCCAACAAGGUCUAUUACAAGAAAGAGGACAUGAGGGGCUUGAAGUGUGACCAUUGCAAGAAGGAAGGUCACACCAAGGAGAGGUGUUGGAUACUCAAUCCCUACCUCAAGCCCAAACAUUUUCACUAAGCCUCAUGGGCUGGAGGCUCAAAGAACUGAGCUCAGGUUCCUUGAUAAGCUGUGCCUCCUAAAAAUAAGAGCAAGAUGCCCAAGUGUUCAGAGCCUACGGAAGUAUAUUUCAGACCAUGGAGAAAUUGCCCACUUCCCAACAACACUUUAAACACUGAUUGUGUUCAUUAACUCCCAAGAUAGUAGAGAGGAAGAUUGGAGCGGUGGAGAGAUUGCUCAAGAGCUCUUACCUGAUGCCACAAGGGUGAACAUGAGGUUCCUCAAGAGAGAAAAACCACAAUUCAAGCCAAGAGGGCUGUGGUCUCAAGGUGUUGGCAAUCAUUGGCUCUCAGCUUCAAGCUUGACCAUAUACUCUCAGUCUCAGGUCAAGCUUGAGUAGGGGUGUUAAAUUUGAAGCCAAUUCUCCAUUAUAACAAAUUUUGAUCUUAGUCCAUGAAGAAGGCAACAAGCAAGAAGUAAGGGGGAGAAAAUCUGUGAAAUAAAAAGAAGGUUCAAGAGGAACCUGAUUGUGUGUGAAACAAGGAAGGAAGUGGCGCCCUUUCCUUGUCAAUAAAGAAGAAAAACCCUAGCUGGAUUGCUUGUACUUUUUUUUUAUAAUUAGUUUUUUAAUGAGACAAGUAAUCUCAGUUCCAAGCUUACUCAAAGAUCUCAUAUGGUCAAGUUUAAGAGGAAGUGUUGAAAUUAAGAAGAAAAUAACCAGAAGAAGGGAGUUAAUCCAAGAUUAAAGGAGAGUUCAUCAAAAGAAGCCAAUGACCCAUUUUUGAAGCUGAAUCAUGGACAGUGAUUAGAUAAAUAUUUGGGAUAUUUCCAAAUAUUUUUGAUUUAGUUUAUUAAUUAUUAAGAUAAUUAUCUUUAUUAUUUUAGGGUUUUAUGGUAUUUUUAUAUAUAGCUGUCUAGGCUUAAGUUUGUAUUUAGUUUAUGAUUUAAUUGAUAAAAGUUAAAAGAUUUCUCUUUAUUCUUUGAUUUCGGCAUAAAACAUAAGUGUUCUCGACGAAUUUAAAAAGACAUUGAUCUUAGGUAUUUUUACACUAAAUAAGAUAUUUGUAAUAUUCUAGUUUCUUUGUAUUCUCAGAAUCAACGGAUCUCUAGUUUAAUUCUUAGAAGUUUUUGCUACAUCAGGUAGUAUCAGAGCUAGAUUUUUGGGUUUUUUAAUCAAAACUCGGUUUCUGGAAUCAUGGCGAAUUUAUUCUUUUAAAGUGAAGAAACUGUUUACAUGGAGAUUACUGGUGAUCCGGUUUACGAUACUUAUGAUGAUGACUAUGCACACGUCACCAAAUAUAAAGUACCGCAAGACGCAUGAAGGCGUCCAUAACUCCAACUCAACCAAUUCCAUACAAGAUAGUGCGCUUGUGAUAUGUAUGAAAAAUUAUGCUCUAAUUCAAGCAAAUCACGUGGUGGUGGAUGGCAUCAAAUCAAAGAGUCAAGUGGUUACGUGUCUUGUUGGUGACUGGUUUGUGGAGACAAAACGUUCAACAACGAAGAUAGGAUACAUGGACAAAAAUAAUUUGUUCUAUAUAUGCCUUUUGUUUGUUCAUGUGAAGAUCAAGGAUGCUAAGUUUCAUCAAUGGAAGAGAAGAAAAAAAAUAAUUGACGACCACAGUUAAGAUUCGAUGACGAAUCUUUCCAAUCCGGAGAAAAUCUGGAGAAAAUGAUGUAGAUAAAUAUUUGGGAUAUUUCAAAAUAUUUAUUAUUUAGUUUAAUAAUUAUUUAGAUAAUUAUCUUUAUUAUUUUAGGAUUUUAUGAUGUUUUAAUGUAUAGCCGUCUAGGCUUAAUUUGUAUUCAGUUUAUGAUUUGAUUAAUAAAAGUUAAGAGAUUUCGUUUUAUUCCUUGAUUUCGGCUAGAACAUAGGUGCUCUCAACGAAUUUAAGAAGACAUUGAUCUUAGACAUUCUUAGACUACAUAAGAUAUUUGUAAUAUUCUAGUUUUCUGGAUAUUCUGAGAAUCAACGGAUCUCUAGUUCUAUCCCCAGAAGCUUCCGCUACAUCAAACAUCCAAAUCUUGAACAACAAAUCGUGGACACUUAAAUCAUGGACAACUGAACUGUGAAAAACUGAAUCCAAAAUCCCUCAACAUUUUAAGCUUCAAAUAAACUAAUUUUGGAUGAAAAGGCUUAAUUCUGAUCAGAAUUGGACAAGAAGAAGUCACAUGGGAGUUUGGAGAAUCAACCAAACUUGUCACUAUUCAACCAUGAAGAGUGCACCUUACUCAUGUUACUUUCAACCUAAGAAGACUGAGCUUCUUUCUCCUGUCACUCUCACUCCCUCUAGUCAUGUCUAUCUUGGCUCUAUCCUCUUUGUCCUCAUCAGAAACCUUACAAUAUUAUUUGUUUAGUAAAUCUUUGUUUUAGCAUCAGUUUAAUAUGUGAACUUGCCUCUAUAUGGCAUUGUUGUAUCUGAUUGUAAACUUUAAGUUGAAUGAAUAAUUCUUCUUCAUUACUCUCUUGUUACUUCAUAUUCUCUUUAUUUUCUUGUUUCCCAUAAGCCUAGACUCGACUCUCAUACUCCCAAACUCUCCUAAUCUCACUUGAAACUUGUUACUGUCUCAGAUACACUUUCUCAACCACUCACUCAUAAUCUCUCCCAUUCUCUGUUCCAGUCACCUAAACACUUAACCAUCAUCAUUCUCAUAUCAUUCUUCAUCAAUCUCACAGAUAGUUGCAUGAGCAACAAGUCUUUUGAGAAUCAAUGGGGUAGUGGAGUCUUUGAGAGAUAACCAUUCAAUAAAAGAUGUCCAAGUAAUGAAGCAUGAGUGUGUAUACAACCUUCGAAGAAUCAUGUCCCAUAUCUGUUCACUGAUUUUGCAGCGUAGAAGCACAUGAUCCCUUGUGUUCUGGAACUGAAUCGCAUAUACACCAGUUUAAUGAAAUCCCAAGGCCCCAGUUCGCAAGCCUUACCGAGUCGGCAUUCUAUAAUUCUGCGCAAGCCAGGUUAUUCUGUUUCUUCAGCCGAAAGAAGAAAAAGACUCCGUCCUCGAAUCUUUCUCCGCCUCGUGUUAAGAAGGCUAAACCGAGAAAGAAAGAUGGAGGGUUUAGUGUGGUGACUUCGGGGUUGGAGAUGCUCUAAGACCAAAGGCUGUUGUUGUCGUGGAGGCAGCGGUUGCGGAGGAGGUUGCGGCGGUUGUGGUGGUUAAAGUUCUCCGUCGAAAUUACCCUUUAUGGUUUCUUGUUCGUGUGGUCGUAUGAGUUUUAUACAUACAAUCUAAUGUUCUUAUUUUGUGUGAUCAUCUAGAAAGUGUAUAUAGAUGAUCACUUGUAUAUUGUAAUGAAUCCUAAAAGGUGAAAGUUACUAUUGGUAAUUCUGAAAUUUGUUGGGUUACAA